rnacentral:lncRNA from 1 species
ACACACGGCACAAGAUGGCCGGAGAGGCAGCAGCACCCCGAGCUGUCAGGCGUUCCGCCGCGGCCGCGAGGCCCGCCGGCCGGCGGGGAGCUACGCCCGGACGGCCAGCAGGCCCGCGGGAGUGGGGCUGCCGCGGCUGAGGCGAGGCGGGCCGCGCGCGUCGGCGUCACAGCCCGCGGCAGAGGCGCCCAGGGCGGCCGGGCCCACGACGCCGAAAGCGCCGCUGCGGUUGCCGCCUCGGAGGCUCCCCCGGGCCCCGGCGGCUGGACCCGGCGCGGGCGGGAGGCUCGGGCGGGCGGUCCGGCCCGGGACUCGGGUUUGGGCGACCAGGAGGUGCCGGUGGCCGCGCUCGGACCCGGUUCUCCAACGGAGGAGCUUUUUAACCUCUUUCCGGUGAGGUGGGAACUCAUCUUCAUGAUCGAAUUUAAAAGAACAAUGGAACCCUGACUACGUUUCAACAAAAAUAAAACUUGUUUUUUUCCCUCCUAUUGGGUGUUGGCUUUUAACUCUUUCAAAGCCGAUUUUGAAACGGCUGCAGUGAUACAUGCGAAGGUGACUUAAGAGAUUAAAAUUAAUUUGGUUGCUGUUGGUUCUGAACAAAUAAUGAGUUCUUUUAUUUGAGGUAUGCCAUUUUGAAGACUGAGACGUUGGAGUUUUAUCCUAGAGGAUAAAGGAA